AAUCCAUAGGUUAAUGAGGCGAACCGGGGGAACUGAAACAUCUAAGUACCCCGAGGAAAAGAAAUCAACCGAGAUUCCCCCAGUAGCGGCGAGCGAACGGGGAGGAGCCCAGAGCCUGAAUCAGCAUGUGUGUUAGUGGAAGCGUCUGGAAAGGCGCGCGAUACAGGGUGACAGCCCCGUACACAAAAGCGCAUGUGCUGUGAGCUCGAUGAGUAGGGCGGGACACGUGGUAUCCUGUCUGAAUAUGGGGGGACCAUCCUCCAAGGCUAAAUACUCCUGACUGACCGAUAGUGAACCAGUACCGUGAGGGAAAGGCGAAAAGAACCCCGGCGAGGGGAGUGAAAAAGAACCUGAAACCGUGUACGUACAAGCAGUGGGAGCACCCUUCGGGGUGUGACUGCGUACCUUUUGUAUAAUGGGUCAGCGACUUAUAUUCUGUAGCAAGGUUAACCGAAUAGGGGAGCCGGAGGGAAACCGAGUCUUAAUUGGGCGUUAAGUUGCAGGGUAUAGACCCGAAACCCGGUGAUCUAGCCAUGGGC
rnacentral:rRNA from 1 species